rnacentral:rRNA from 1 species
CGUGUAGGCGGUUUUCCAAGUUGGGUGUGAAAGCCUUGGGCUUAACCCAAGAAAUGCACUCAGUACUGGAAGACUAGAGGACCGGAGAGGAUAGUGGAAUUCCCAGUGUAGUGGUGAAAUACGUAGAGAUUGGGAAGAACACCAGUGGCGAAGGCGGCUAUCUGGACGGUUUCUGACGCUAAGACGCGAAAGCGUGGGGAGCAAACAGGAUUAGAUACCCUGGUAGUCCACGCCGUAAACGAUGGGUGCUAGACGUUGGCGAGCUUGCUCGUCAGUGUCGCAGCUAACGCGUUAAGCACCCCGCCUGGGGAGUACGGCCGCAAGGUUGAA